CCUACGGGUGGCACCAGUGGGGAAUCUUCCACAAUGGGCGAAAGCCUGAUGGAGCAACGCCGCGUGAAUGAAGAAGGCCUUAGGGUCGUAAAGUUCUGUCCUUAGGGAAGAACCGUGGGUAUAGAAAAUGAUACCCACCUGACGGUACCUUUGGAGGAAGCACUGGCUAACUACGUGCCAGCAGCCGCGGUAAUACGUAGAGUGCAAGCGUUGUCCGGAAUUAUUGGGCGUAAAGGGUACGCAGGCGGAUAAUCAAGUCAAGCGUGAAAGGUGUCGGCUUAACCGACAGACUGCGUUUGAAACUGGUUAUCUUGAGUGUAACAGAGGAGAGUGGAAUUCCUAGUGUAGUGGUGAAAUACGUAGAUAUUAGGAAGAACACCAGUGGCGAAGGCGACUCUCUGGGUUAACACUGACGCUGAGGUACGAAAGCUGGGGGAGCGAACGGGAUUAGAUACCCUAGUAGUC
rnacentral:rRNA from 1 species